rnacentral:tRNA from 1 species
UCCGCCAUGGGGUAAUCGGUAGCCCGCGGGACUUUGAAUCCCUGUAGUGCUGGUUCGAGUCCAGCUGGCGGAGC